rnacentral:rRNA from 1 species
GUGUCAGCCGCCGCGGUAAUACGGGGGGGGCUAGCGUUGUUCGGAAUUACUGGGCGUAAAGGGCUCGUAGGCGGCCAACUAAGUCAGACGUGAAAUCCCUCGGCUUAACCGAGGAACUGCGUCUGAUACUGGAUGGCUGGAAUCUGGGAGAGGGAUGCGGAAUUCCAGGUGUAGCGGUGAAAUGCGUAGAUAUCUGGAGGAACACCGGUGGCGAAGGCGGCAUCCUGGACCGGCAUUGACGCUGAGGAGCGAAAGCCAGGGGAGCAAACGGGAUUAGAUACCCUUGUAGUCC